GCCAUUAUCAAGGUUCAUUUACAAGAGUACCGAAAGGUUUAGAUAGUGUGGACGACUUCGACUUUGGAUCUCCCGAGUCCGAUAGUUCACGAACAAAAUCUAUAAAACAGGGAAUGAAGGCAAAAAGAGUAAGCAUUUCGAUGCUUAGUAAGUCUUAAGUAAUGAAAUCAUUUAUAACUAAAGCAUAGCAUUCAUAAGGCUCAUCAUCUUUCUGACUAAAUGUAGUCAUGAUUAAAUAUACCCCUAUUGUUCAUACAUGUCAUCUUAAAUUUUUCCUUAAACACGAAUUCGUAUCAUGUAGAUAAUCUCUUUUUACCCAACUAACCUCAUAA
rnacentral:lncRNA from 1 species